rnacentral:lncRNA from 1 species
GUCACCCCCCCUCUCCCCGUCCUCAAAGCCUUUUCCCCCAAAUCUCGCGUGCUGCCUCCGUCCUGCUCCGCCCCUCCGCUUCCGUGUCCCCCCAACCCGCGCGCCUGCGCCCCCCUCGAUCCGGCGGAAUCCGCCGGCGCGGCCGUCGAUUGGAGCGGCUGCUGUGGUUGGGGAACGCUCGGCGCCGUCGCGGGCUGCGGAUCGAGGUCCGGGUCGGCGGAUUUGGGCGCCCGCGGAACGAGACCUACGCGGCGGCGUGGGAGUUUGUGACGGAGUUUUGGGGUUGGGUGGUGGAGGGGAGGAGGAGGGGUCGCAUAUGCGCGUGACGGUCACGCCCAAGGACGAAGAGCGGCUGGUCGGCUUGAUGGCGCGGAGCGGCCGCGGUCGGCGGUGGUGACGGNNN